UGUCCUAUGGCCUUGUUGGUUACGGCGUCCGAUUGUUAUAUGAACUCCUCUUCGUUACACAUUGGAAGAUCGAGAGUUCAACUCUCUCUGGGACAC